GGGCUCUAGCCUAGUGGAUACAGUAUCUGCUUUACAUGCAAAAGGUCCCUGGUUCAAUCCCUGACAUCUCCA